UGCUGUCUAACAAUACCAGGCCAGGAGCUGCGCGGACUUCUGAGAUUUCUCCAUCCCAGCCUGCUGUGGGCACCCCCUGUCAUGCUAUGCUGUCCCCAGCACCUGAAGCUCCAACUGCAAGAAUACCAGGAAAGUCAGACCAGGGGGAGAAAGGACAGUGCUUCAGAAGGGAGGCCAGCUGGAUGGAGAUGCCACUGGAAUGCUCACUUGCUCCCUGCUCUGUGGUGGCUGAGGACUGGAUGAAAGUGGUAAGGGCAGGGACCCUAAGUGACCUUGCUAUGCCUUCCCUCCUCAUUUGCUCAAGAUGGUGGAAUUGGGAGAAGAACCAUCCGGGAGGCCAGCCUCAGCCCAACACGAGACCCCCCAGGCAGCCCUCCAGAUGUUUGUCGACAGCUUCCUUCUUGCCUCUCUGAGGUUGGAACCUGGGACAGUGCAAAGCUGCCUUUGAGGAGAGGCUUUUCUAGGAAGGAAGAAAUCCAGCCCGGAACCCCAACUGGGUCACCUUCCUUAGAAUGACCAAAACCAGGGUGGGUAAGAGGGCCUGUUGUUCCUAUCCCAGUCCACGGCGCUUCCUCGAUAGCCUAUGUCUCUCUAGACUUCUUGCUCUCUCCUCCAGUGCAUUCCGACAGCCCACACAACAGAGAACUUUGAGAAGAAAAACUGAGGGCAGAACGCACAAACUCAUCUUGCCCCAGGUCGCUCAGCCUUGACUGGUAAAUCUACCCUACUUGGAUGUGAACCCAGACGCCCUGCCUCGACACCCUCCUGAAGCCUUAAUCUCACAGUCAACAAUCACACAAUUCCAGUAAAAGGGUGGCUUUGGGUGGCGAAGCUUAUCCACCGUUCAUUCAGUCAACAUCAGCUCAGCACUGUGGGUCAUCAGACACCCCGCUCAGAGCUGGGGAAAUAAAGACUCCAUAAUAAGGAGGCUCGGAGCUGGGGAAACAAAAGACCAUGGAUCUACCCCUGAAGAGUUCAGUUGAGCAAACACUAUUUGUCAACAGACCACGACCAUAGCUAUGACAGCUGGGCUGAUCCACCUGAUACUAAUUUGGAGAAAUGUGGAUUCACAUUGGCUUCCCCUGACUUUCCUUUCCUUAAGGCUGGAAGCGUCUGUGUUGACUGGACCAGACUCAUAGGCCUAAUACCUUGACCUGGCUUGUCUCUUAGCUGGAGGACUUGUGCCACCAUCUGGGUUGCAAAGCAAGUGUCACCCUGGCAGUCCUACAGUACAGUAGUCAGACUGCUGUAUGCGCCAGGGGAUGUGACCAGACUCACAGGAGCAUGGAGGAUUCUGUACUCAGAACACUUAAGUGGGCUGAGCCUAAAAGAAGUGAGUGAUAGGCUAGAGCUCUUACUGUCUGGUUUCCAGCACCCAACAGCGGCACACACCUGGCUGUUAACUCCAGUUCCAGGGAUUCUGACGCCCUCUUCUGGCCUCCAAUGGCACUGCAUACAUACGGUGUAAGUAUAUCUCAGGCAAACCACUAUACAAGUAAAUAAAUCAUAAAAAGGAAAAAGAGGUGCUUGAGAGAUGGCUCAGCAGUUAAGAACACUGACUGCUCUUCCAGAGGUCCUGAGUUCAAUUCCCAGGAACCACAUGGUGGCUCAAAAUCAUCUGUAAUGGGAUCCGAUGCCCUCUUCUGGUGUGUCUGAAGACAAUCGACAGUGUAUUCAUAUACAUAAAAUAAAUUAAUCUUUUUACCAAAAAAAAAAGAGAAAAAGAAAUAAUUGAGACUUGUAGUGAGAGUUUUAGUUUCUUUGAAAAACAGAAAUAUUAUGGAACUAUGUUUCCAUUUUAACCCCAGGUGUGGGCUGUGGGGCUGCUGCGCAGCAGGUGACUGUGAUUUGCCUUGUGCUCUAGCAGGGGGAUGAUUUUGCCAGCUGCAAAUUGUGUCUGUGACUGUGUGACCUUUGGAAUUCUGGGGACUUUUCAGAGAAGAUAUAAAUGCUAGACCCCCAUAGGUGGGUGGUCUGUUGGUCGUUGUUGGCCAUUUGGGUGGGCUGGUUGCUGUUUAAUAGUAGUCAUGGUCGA
rnacentral:lncRNA from 1 species